UAAGUGCGGAAAUAAACAAAGAAUAAUCAAAUUGCUCUUUGGCAGAGGAAAAAAGGUGGCUGUGUUCGUAUUGUCGAAUUGAAAUUGGUAUGUAUGCAUGGGGCAGGUUGGGGCGCGCGUCACACGCACCAUUCCGCUAUAAAACCGCUCGCCCCUGAGCCACCCUCUUUCAGAGGAGCAGCACGCGCUGAAACUGGUCUAAACAAAUCCACCUGUUGGUCAGACUAACCAGCAAAAAUGUUUAAAAUGACGGCCGUGACUCUCGGAUUGUGCUUCAUAAUCCUCUCUGUUUCCACUCAGGUGAAAUCUCUAGGUAGUACACAAUCUACGGGAACCACGCUGAAGAGUACGAUGUCGUGGAACGUGACCACCGUGAGCCACAUGAACUCCACCAGCAGCCCCGGAGGUGCGGGGAGCUCCCUGCGCUGCGGCGCCUCCUCGCUGCUGCUUCCCUUCGCCGCUGCCAUCUCGGUGCUGCGCGGUCGCUCCUGAGUCAUCGCUAAUAAACGGAGGCAAUGAAGAUUGACAUACAGCAGAUAAGAGGGAGGAAAAACAUCCAAAGAGCAUACUUUCAUUUUUUUAUUUUGUCCCACUGGCAACUUAAUUUCACCUGAACUGGAAAGGAAUCACCAAACGGCUGCGCAAAUGAAACCUUUGCAACGGAAGCUAAGCCGAACACUAAAGAGACCAGGUGUUGAUCGGUUUGACUCCCACCACCUUCCUACCCGCGACGAUACGCCUCUGGCUCGUCUGCUGAGCUCGAUGACCGCCAUGCUCCUCACCAUUAUCACUGUGUUGUCUCAAACGGGGCCGCUCAUAUAUUAAACUCGCAUCAUUGUAGGGGUUGCGCGCCUAGGACAUCAACAGCCUUAAGUACGUCUGGGAUCGGGUUUUAAUUGGCUGUCUUGUCAUGCUAGCUUUCAGAUAUUUUGGUUUACUGUAUUCAUUCAUAAUCUAAUCCACACAGGUGCUGGAACUGUAUUUACAUUUAGUAACUGAUAUUAGUUGUAAUUUCUUGGUUCAGUUCCCUGUUAGGAUUAACACGCAAUUGGUUUUUGUAAAAUUCCUGUAAACCUUCCAUAUGUUUUUAUAUACAAUACGUUGGAUGUUUUGUUUCUAUAAUUUUUAGUUGGGAUCUUAUCAGGGAGUCUUCUAACAUCAUGUUUAAUAAAUCAGUUACACAAAA